rnacentral:rRNA from 1 species
CGUAGUUAGCCGAGACUUAUUCCUGAGGUACUGUCCUUUCUCAUCCCCCAGAAAAGGGCUUUACGAUCCGAAGACCUUCAUCGCCCACGCGGCGUUGCUGCGUCAGGGUUUCCCCCAUUGCGCAAUAUCCCUU